GGGCUAGCGUUGCUCGGAAUCACUGGGCGUAAAGCGCACGUAGGCGGUCUCUUAAGUCGGUGGUGAAAUCCUGGAGCUCAACUCCAGAACUGCCUUCGAUACUGAGAGUCUCGAGUCCGGGAGAGGUGAGUGGAACUGCGAGUGUAGAGGUGAAAUUCGUAGAUAUUCGCAAGAACACCAGUGGCGAAGGCGGCUCACUGGCCCGGUACUGACGCUGAGGUGCGAAAGCGUGGGGAGCAAACAGG
rnacentral:rRNA from 1 species